UUUUUUUUUUUUUUUUUUUUUUUUUUACUUCCAGCACAUAUUAAAGUCCAAUAAAUACUUGUUAAAUAACCAAGUUUAGAAAAGGAGAAGUUGUUAGAAACACAGGUCUAACAGUCAGGACUGAAAUAGGUCAAAUUCCCGGGAGCAUCUAUUUUGGAAUGACAGAAGACAAGCCAUGGCUUCCCUCUCAAGGAAAGCUGGUGAGCCUGCAGUGACAGAGCAGGGCCUCCAACCCUUCUCCCUGGGCGACAAAUACAGGGAGCUUUCUACCGUAAACUGAUGCCUAGAAGAAUGAGGUAGUAACACAUCUCAAAAGUGUUAAAGUGGUACACAAAUACAAGAGGGUAUGCUUUCUUCUGCUUAUCUUCCCAAAGAAUUUCCCGAUAAGGAUACGAGAGACAAGCGGUCCCUACCCAGCCCUUUCAAAGAAGUCUGUCCAAAAAGCUGUUUACAGACCUUCUCUCUGUUCAGAUUCACUGUGGACCUAGGAUGCUGUUACCAACGGUAUAAACUGCCCUUAUGGCUCUGCCACGUCAUUCAGUUACUCACAGCGACAACAAAAGCCUGGCCGAAGGACAUGAGGACUAGGCCAGCCAUUCAGCUGGAUCCUCGGAAAAGUCACAGCAACCAAACUCCAACCAUCCGCGGCAAAAGAGAGGCAAACAUCGAGCGCGAAGAUAAAUAGCUCUGACCCAUCUUCCAAACCUGAUUAUAAAAUACAGUCUACUGAAUUCCUUGUACUAAAUAAUUCAUAGCAGUGAAUUCUGUGAUAACAAAGCUGAUAAGCCCCCACGGAAUACAAGCGAGAACUUGGAAAUACUUUAAUGAGGAUGAAUUAUGUAUUGUAAGGUCAUUUGUUUUAACAGCCUUUGGUCUAUUAACAAGUAUUCGCUUACCAAAAAAAAAAAAAAAAAAAAAAAAAAAAACAUGGAAAAAUGAAAAACACUAAUCAUCUAAAUAAAGGGAAAAAUGUAACAGGUUUUUCUGAAUUAACACAUGAUUUUACCUUUUAUCCUUCUUUUACAGGGCUUAUUAACUGUGGCUUCUGCAUUUGUUUAGCACAUGUACUUCACUUCAGUCGCUGCAGGAGGCACUGAGAAUUCCUGAACCUCUAACACCCUCUCAUCUCUUCCAACUACAGUUUAUGGGAGACUAGAAAGUGGUUUUAGAAGAUCUCCUAUCCCAUCCUUCCUUUGAUCCUCCGAAACGCAGGACAAGGAAAGGAGCCCAGGAGCCCUGUCUUCCCACCUGCCUGCCAGGGACCCUGCCCGCUGACCAGCACCCAGGCCCUCACUCUUGAGACCUGGGACAGUCCUCACAACAGAGUCUACAGAAUGGAUAACUAGGUUAGUUGGACCUCAUCACAGCCUAACAAGACACAUCGGCCGUGUCGCUCUGCUUCCAUGAACGCUCCUGCCUUGCCCGGCUCCCGUCCACCCUCCCCCUCAAAGAAAGAAAGAAAGAAAGAAAGAAAGAAAGAAAGAAGAAGGAUUGGACUUGUGGGUUGGCUCCAUCUCCUUUUUACUAUGCACAGACUUUGGGUGCACAUGAAAAUUAAGAGAAAAUUAAGAACGGCAGGAGACAAGCGAGUAGGUGAAAGUCACAGACUCACAGUUACACGGGACUGUCCUAGCUUUUUUUUGUUUGUUUGUUUGUUUGUUUGUUUUGUUGUUUUUUUUUUUUUUUUUUUUUUUUUUUUUGUCUUUUUGCCUUUUCUAGGGACACUCCCAUGGCACAUGGAGGUUUCCCAGAAAAUACAAAAAAAAAAAAAAAAAAAAGCUGAGAAUCUAACACUGAUUAUAGACUUAAAGACUCAAAAUGGAAUUACAUAAUUGAUAACACUUCAGUUUUGUUUUCAGAAACCUUCUGACUUUACCAAAAUCCAUUCCUCUGACUAAAGAAAUGAUAGAAUCUUAGAAAGAUGGCAGAGAAUAUGAGGCUUUAAAAUCACAGACUUAUUAAGGAUGGAAACAGCAUUAUUUGGGUCUUCACAAGACCCAAAGACCUUGUAUGCUAUACUUACAGCUAAAGUCAGGCAGCAACACACAAAUGAACUUUUAAUUUCUCCCAGGAUGCACUGAGUAUUUUCUUACCUUUUGGUGACACUGCCCUUUUAAGUGAGCCACAGCGAAUGAGGCCUGACACACCUCCCCACCCUAGUCAGGCUCCUCGCCCCCUUCCACAGUGUAGACUCCAGAGCUGCAGCCGAGGCCAGACUUCUCUGCAGUGUCCCAGCCACAUAUAAUCAGCGGCCUGAUAGGCAGUGUCACUGUACCUUCCACAAAUGCCUUGCACUUGUGACAAGACAGAGGCAGCCCCCGCCUCGGCCACACAAAGAAGCCAUCAUUUGUUCUUAACCUGCUUGGUUUGGAUGGGUGUAGAUUUAAUGAGAACAGAGGAAGCUAUUCUGCUUAACAGUAGAUGGUGAACCCUCAACUGAUCUGGUUAAUAUCUCUUCUUUGUUCUUUAGCAUUAGGCACUACGAUAACUUUAUCUGAAACUAAGGCACGGAGUUCCCCGGUGGCUUGGUGGGUUAAGACUCAGGCAUUGGCCCUGCUGUGGCUCGGGUUCAGGUUUGAUCCCUGGCCUGGGAACUUCUACAUGCUGCAGGUGUGGGGAAAAACAAAACAAAACCAAACUAAGGCAAAACUUGUAUUUCCUGAAUCUUGGAGUAUUUCGCCUCUCCCUUCUCUAACCAACAGUAGGUAUUUUUACCAUUUUAAUAUUCAUUUGACCUCUAGGCGCUGUGCACGGAAGGACCUACAGGACAAUCUUAGCACCGCAAUGACAUGUAAGACCAGCCAUAAGUACAUUUUGUGCAGAAAUACAAGAAGACAUUUAAAACCAAAUGAGACAAACUGUGUUCCUCCUAACUCCCAUGAUCACACUCUUCCUGCUGAUGAAAGACAAGAGAGGACGUCUAAACUGCCAAAGAAUCAGAAAUUGUCCCCAUAAACAGAGCGAUGAUGCCUCUUAAUGCUUAGCAAGUGCAUGCUACAGACUGACACGGAUAAAAUGUCCUAAGAUCUGCAGGUAAGUUAAGUCUCCAUUUCUUUAUUUCAUCUCCUUUCAAUAAGGAGCCACAGCUGCUCAAAGGUGGGGGGGAAGGGGGGUCAGGGAAAGGGAGGAAAGAUUCUAGAACUAGAGGUAAAGGCCGCUAUCACCUACUCGGACUCCCGCCAAAGCGGGGGCCAUCCGAGAUGCCCAGCUCUCUUACUUUCUUAUUCUCUCCAACUCAUUCAGCCACUUUUUGAGCCAAGCUAAUGUGUUUACUGCAGCUGCUGGGGAUACAGAACGGACUGAGGCAAUUCUGAUCCCUCAGUGAUUCCUGGGGAGACAUGAGAAAAGGGACUUUACGGUGUCAGGAAGCAAGUGUCCUUCUGACCGACACACGGCAGCUGGCGAAGGAUGCCCAGGCAGGCUGGCGAAGGAUGCCCAGGCCAGGCCUUGCAAAGAAGAUGGGAGGUGAGCCUGAAAGAAUGGUGGGACCAGGCAAGCUCAGGGAAAGGGGAUGUCCCCACCGAAGCAGGGCAGGAAGACAGGAGCACAAACCAACACCCAAAGCACACUGUUAGGAGACUAGGGGCCUGAGUUAUUUAUCCUAGAUGAGAACUGAAGGAUUUCAAACAAGGGAAAACCUACCUAGAAACACGGAGAAGGUGUUGGGGGUGUUUCUUUAAGAAACGUAUCCAUAGGUAUCCAGACAAAAAAAUUUAACUCAAUCCUAAAUUUUAAAAGGGGAGAAGAGUUAGAAGAUACUGGGGGGGGGGGGGUCUUUAAAAAAAAAAAAAAAGAAAUAGUCCUUUUUCUUGGUAAUUUUAAGGUAUACUAUCCCUGAAGUCUAGAUUUGCAAAUAUAAACUAAAUUUCUUCCUACAUCUCAUAAACCAAAUGCAUCUUAAUACAUUACUGAAUAAAUAUACCUGUGUUCCCCUUUAUAAUAACCUUGGUUUUAUUGUGAUGCUAGUUCCUGACCUGCCAUUAAUUAAGAACCUAAUACACAGGUAUCAAAGCACUAGAGCUUUUAUUGCUAUUAAAAACAGAAUGUGAAAGCAUAAAGUUGCAAAGUACCUCUUUACAGUCGUAUCACAGGAGAGCAAAGGACCAAUCCUCUGAGCAUACUAUUUAAGGCCCUGGAAGACACCAUCUCUGGGUACCUUCCCAGGUUAAUUUCCGAUGUGCUUUUUCCCUGACUUCAUGAACAGACAGUGUAUCUUUGGCCCAUGUGGCUUAAACUUUUAUAAGUACUUUAAAUGUUUUUUUUAAAUAAUUAUUGACAUUGGGGUUGUUCUUUUAAACUUCUAGCAAAGAAAACAAUGAAAAAAAUGCUUUAAAAAAAGCAUUUUGAAGUGAAACAACUUUAUAUCAGCAUUUGAU
rnacentral:lncRNA from 1 species